ACUGUGCUGGUCCAUGGGGCAUGAGCUGCUCGACUCUCCCAUCCCUGCUGGCAAACUGGGGUCUGCAGCCAGAGCAGGCUCUGCUCCACUCAGCUGAGCGUUAAGCACGUGCUAAACAGAAGCAUGUGAGUCAUCCUGCUGACAUGAACUUGAGCUGAUGAACAGACUCCUGUGAAGGUUGCCAUGGGCUCACAUCCAUGUGUCCCUGAUGCAUAUUCAAUACCAGACCCCAUCUCACUCUCCAGAAGAGGACAGGAUGAAGUUCACAAGCCCAGCAGGUCCUGGCAGCAUCUGAUCUAUGUGGUUCACACUCAUGUGCUCCCACAACCAUUCAGUAUGUUUGUGAGAGAUGCAGUGCUGUCUGCAUUCUUUCUGAGCAUUUGCUCUCCUCUUGAUCCUCAUACAUGCUGUUGCUCUGUUGCUGCUCUGAUUUGAUUGUUGGGCAAAUCUUGUUUCUAAUAUGAUAAUGUGUUAUAUGAUUAUAUGAUCUAAUAUGAUUUAAUAUGAUCUAAUAUGAUCAUGGGAAAUCUUGUUUCUAAUAUAAUCAUGUGCACAGUCCUCACAUUCUACUUGAGUAAAAUUUCUAGCUGGAAAAAAGUUCCUGUAUCUGCCGAAGUAUAGAUUAAAAAAAGCUUAAAAACAUGAACAAAUUUUUUGAGGAAUUGUAAGAAAAAAAAACCAAAACCAAAACCAAACCACACCAAACCAAACCUAACAAAAACCAGAACAAAACAAAACAAAACCAAACCCAAAAACCCAAAAACACCCAAAAAAAAACCAAACCAAAAAAAAAAAAAAACCAAACCCUUUGUGGCUAGUACAAUGGUACAAUGGUGAAAUGUUUUAAAAUAGAACAAAAACUCAGCAUACUUUGGCAAUUUCAGGUUCCAGUACUAAUAUAAACAUCUUUUUACCUGAAGCAUGAAAAUGUUUAUGGGGGUGAUGUUUCUUGAAGAGCUGUCAGUUAUUACUAAGAAAAACAGAGACCCAUCUUUUUCAAGUUCAUAGCAUGGCAUUGGGUAUAGCAAUGAAGAAAUUAUGAGGUCUGAAGUUAUCUUUACUGUGCUUGCACAAAUCUGAUUCACUUUACUUUCAGUGGAAUUACUCCAGAUUUACACCGAUAUGAGGAAACAAUUCACCUUGCCUAGAUUUUUACCUACACAAAACAAAAUAAAUGCCAAUCUCAAACUCUGGACGCCCUUGACUGUGUUUGAAGAAUAUUAAAUAAAACUGACUAGCUCCAGCAAUUACCUCCAAAUCAUGAUACCUUAGAAUAGCAUAAAUGUAGCAAAAAUUUAAUUAGUCACACCAAGAAAAAUCACUAACUUUUUUGCUUGCUAAAAGUGAAAUAUCUCUCCUCUUUGUGAUAAUGUCAAUGUUAUGGGUAAGACUUGGAAUCUUGUUGUAUAUGAAAGCAAUAUAUACAGAAGAGGCCAUUUAUCAGCUAAAGACAAUAAAUACCAUGGCUAAAUUCAUAGGCUGAGACAGAGAAAACAGUACAGUUUUUAUGAGCAUCUUUGCAGGACUGUACAAAUAUAUUAUGCUGACACUCUAUGGAUAUAUUUACCUACAUGAAAAUAAACAUACAUCUUAAUCUAAAUCUUAAAACUGGAUGUAAAGCAAAGCAAAGGGGUAUUAAGAACAUGAAACUUGAAGGCACUGCAUUUAUUGACUGUCUUUUUCCAAGAGAAAAUCUGAGGAAAGGGCUAAGAGAAACUGGUCUACUGGGAAAGCGGUCACACCCCUAUUUUUUGGGAACAGUCUGAGUGAUCCACCUGAGAUCUUUUGGAAAGAAGCUUAUCUGACAGGAAAAUCUAUUCUGUAGCAAGCACCAGUCACUGACCAUCAGGAAUAAUCAACCUUCUUCAAAGCAAUUCCACGAUUCCCUCAGGAGGUCACUAGGUCCAGCUUUAUUAAGGGAUCUCAGAAGUAUAAAGUGGUGAGCUAUGGGGGCACUGUAUUACAUUUCCAUCACAAAGCUCAUAAGCCAUCAGUGCACAUGCCUUUGGACUGCUGUUUGCAGCCUGUGCUCUGGUUCAAAUCUGGUUUGUGAGCAUCUUCCUCGAACGUGGCCUCUCCUUGAGGAGGAAAAAAGCUGUGAUCAGAAGAGCCAGUCACGUGCAGCUCUUAGGGCCUGUUCCUGCCAGCUCUCUACAGGCUGUUGUAAUGAGCUUGGCUUUUCUGAGAUGCUCUUUUCUCUUCUCACUAUUCUUGUGGUUACCCAGGAAUGUCAACAUCCUCAUGCUGAAAUUGCAACAACAGUGUAAAAGCUCUUUCACAUCAAGGACUGAGAAUGAAACAGAGGGAAGAAAAUAAGAGAGAAGAAAAAAAGGAAAGGGAAAAAAAAACAAAAUUAAAAGGACAAGCUGUAUCUAUUUUCAUGUCUUUGUUUGGUUUUGUUUGUUUAUUUGUGUGUUGUAUUUUCCUGGAAAGAAUGUUCACUUAAAGAAGAACUUUGUUUAGAAUUGGUGAAUAGUGUUGAAAAUCCAUCAGCUUCUAGUAACAUGCCAGGUACAUUUUAGUCCAUUUUAAGCCAUAAAUUAUUUGGUCUGGAAUGGAUUUAUGUAUGUUCUCUAUGAAAUCAUUCUCAGAAUGGACAGAAUUAAUUUGUAAAUAAAAUAAUCUGUGAAAGAACAUUGCAUAA